AACCAUUCUCACCUGCGGCUAGACCUGCGGAGGGAUCAUUAACAAUUAUCCACCAAACAUGGGUAAUUUUAUCCAUAUCCACCUUGUGUGAAUUCAUUGAAUUGUUGGUUGGCAGGUUAAGUCGCGCUCUUUUGCGGAGUUAGUGGCUGUGGGUUUGGCAUUUUGAUGUCUCGCUCGGCCUGCCAAUUUUAUUAUGUUUAACUUGUCUAAAUAUUAUUGGUCUGAAAUACUACUUAUAAA
rnacentral:misc_RNA from 1 species